rnacentral:rRNA from 1 species
GUAGGUGGCAAGCGUUGUCCGGAAUUAUUGGGCGUAAAGCGCGCGCAGGCGGUUCUUUAAGUCUGAUGUGAAAGCCCACGGCUCAACCGUGGAGGGUCAUUGGAAACUGGAGAACUUGAGUACGGAAGAGGAAAGCGGAAUUCCACGUGUAGCGGUGAAAUGCGUAGAGAUGUGGAGGAACACCAGUGGCGAAGGCGGCCUUCUGGUCUGUAACUGACGCUGAGGCGCGAAAGCGUGGGGAGCAAACAGGGAUUAGAUACCCUGGUAGUCCACGCCGUAAACGAUGAGUGCUAAGUGUUAGGGGGUUUCCCGCCCCUUAGUGCUGCAGCUAACGCAUUAAGCACUCCGCCUGGGGAGUACGGCCGCAAGGCUG